CCUACGGGUGGCAGCAGUAGGGAAUCUUUCACAAUGGGCGAAAGCCUGAUGGAGCAACGCCGCGUGCAGGAUGAAGGCCUUCGGGGUGUAAACUGCUUUUAUAAGCGAGAAAUAUGAUGGUAACUUAUGAAUAAGGAUCGGCUAACUACGUGCCAGCAGCCGCAGUCAUACGUAGGAUCCGAGGAUUAUCCGGAGUGACUGGGUGUAAAGAGUUGCGUAGGUGGCAUAAUAAGUAGCUAGUGAAAUCGGGUGGCUCAACCAUUCAGACUGUUAUCUAAACUGUUAAGCUCGAGACCGUUAGGGGUAACUGGAAUUGCUAGUGUAGGAGUGAAAUCCGUAGAUAUUAGAAGGAACACCAAUAGCGUAGGCAGGUUACUGGGACGGUUCUGACACUAAGGCACGAAAGCGUAGGUAGCAAACGGGAUUAGAUACCCUGGUAGUC
rnacentral:rRNA from 1 species